AUUGCACGCUGGCGGCAGGCCUAACACAUGCAAGUCGAGCGAGCGGCGGACGGGUGAGUAAUGUAUGGGGAUCUUCCAGAUAGCUGUGGAUAACUACUGGAACCGGUGGCUAAUACCGCAUACUAUCGGAUGAACCCAUAUGGGAUUCGAUAGUAGGUGUGGUAACGGCUCACCUAGGCGACGCUCUCUAGCUGGUCUGAGAGUAUGAUCAGCCACACUGGGACUGAGACACGGCCCAGACUCCUACGGGAGGCAGCAGUGGGGAAUAUUGCACAAUGGGCGCAAGCCUGAUGCAGCCAUGCCGCGUGUAGGAAGAAGGCCUUAGGGUUGUAAAGUACUUUCAGCGGGGAGGCGUUACCCGCAGAAGAAGCACCGGCUAACUCCGUGCCAGCAGCCGCGGUAAUAC
rnacentral:rRNA from 1 species